UACGUAGGGUGCAAGCGUUAAUCGGAAUUACUGGGCGUAAAGCGUGCGCAGGCGGUUGUGCAAGACCGAUGUGAAAUCCCCGGGCUUAACCUGGGAAUGGCAUUGGUGACUGCACGGCUAGAGUGUGUCAGAGGGGGGUAGAAUUCCACGUGUAGCAGUGAAAUGCGUAGAGAUGUGGAGGAAUACCGAUGGCGAAGGCAGCCCCCCUGGGAUAACACUGACGCUCAUGCACG
rnacentral:rRNA from 1 species